GGGGAAUAUUGGACAAUGGGCGAAAGCCUGAUCCAGCCAUGCCGCGUGAGUGAUGAAGGCCCUAGGGUUGUAAAGCUCUUUUGUGCGGGAAGAUAAUGACGGUACCGCAAGAAUAAGCCCCGGCUAACUUCGUGCCAGCAGCCGCGGUAAUACGAAGGGGGCUAGCGUUGCUCGGAAUCACUGGGCGUAAAGGGUGCGUAGGCGGGUUUCUAAGUCAGAGGUGAAAGCCUGGAGCUCAACUCCAGAACUGCCUUUGAUACUGGAAGUCUUGAGUUCGGGAGAGGUGAGUGGAACUGCGAGUGUAGAGGUGAAAUUCGUAGAUAUUCGCAAGAACACCAGUGGCGAAGGCGGCUCACUGGCCCGAUACUGACGCUGAGGCACGAAAGCGUGGGGAGCAAACA
rnacentral:rRNA from 1 species